rnacentral:rRNA from 1 species
UGGGGAAUAUUGCGCAAUGGGCGGAAGCCUGACGCAGCCAUGCCGCGUGUGUGAAGAAGGCCUUAGGGUUGUAAAGCACUUUCAAUAGGGAGAAAAGGCCCACGGCUAAUACCCGUGGGAGUUGAUGUUACCUAUAGAAGAAGCACCGGCUAACUCCGUGCCAGCAGCCGCGGUAAUACGGAGGGUGCGAGCGUUAAUCGGAAUUACUGGGCGUAAAGCGCGCGCAGGCGGAGGGGUAAGUCAGCUAUGAAAGCUCUCGGCUAAACUGGGAGAGGAUGGUUGAAACUGCCCGUCUAGAGUACAGCAGAGGAAUGUGGAAUUCCGCGUGUAGUGGUGAAAUGCGUAGAGAUGCGGAGGAACACCAGUGGCGAAGGCGGCAUUCUGGGCUGAUACUGACGCUGAGGCGCGAAAGCAUGGGUAGCGA